rnacentral:rRNA from 1 species
UACGUAGGGGGCUAGCGUUGUCCGGAAUCAUUGGGCGUAAAGAGCGCGUAGGCGGCCAGAUAAGUCCGGUGUGAAAGUCAAAGGCUCAACCUUUGAAUGCCGCUGGAAACUGUCUGGCUAGAGUCCGGGAGGGGCGAGUGGAAUUCCUGGUGUAGCGGUGAAAUGCGCAGAUAUCAGGAGGAACACCAAUGGCGAAGGCAGCUCGCUGGAACGGUACUGACGCUGAGGCGCGAAAGCGUGGGGAGCAAGCAGG